GUGAUACUUCAUUUUUUGCUUGCUCGUUCUUGUGCCCCCUUCUUUUCCUCCAUUACAGAAUCAAUAAGCUUCCUUUCUAGCUCUUAGACGCUUGGAACAACCUAGGCUUUUAAGUUUCUCAAUGGGUCAUGAUACUAAGAGCAGCGCUGAUAAUCAAAUUCAACUUUGGGCACCUUCUUUGGGAGAGGUGGUGCGUUUUUCUCUUGAGAAAACAACGUCCUACGUUAGCAACAUAUAUGCAUCAUCUAGCCAUAUGGAAGAGGUACACAAACAGCUAAACGAUGAACUGGAGUGCCUAAAUACUCUAAAAAGUGACUGUGACGGCCAAGUAUUAGCAGCUUGGAAUAAGCGUACAACUAAUGAGUACAACUUGUGGACGAAGAAAGUGGAAGAACUGAACGAUCAAGUGGCUGACCUGAACAAGUAAUAUGACAGGUUAGAUACCGUGGAGAAAUGGCGUUAUUGGAAGCGAUCUAGUCUCAGUGCAAAUAUGGAAAUAAAGUUUAAGGUAGUUCGAAGGCUUAUAAAACGACGCCCACAAAAUUUUCUAGUUGACAGUACUGAUGACCAUGAUCCAUCUUAUUAUAUUUAAUACUCUUUUUAAUAUUUGAUCAUAAAUCAAUUGCGUGAACUUUUGUUCUAGUAAUAAAAUAUGAAAGGAUCAA